rnacentral:lncRNA from 1 species
UUCAAGCUAAACGAAGCUCCAUGAGGGCGAACAAGGCACUCUAAGUGAAAAGAAAAAAUUCUCAAAAUAACCAACCCUGCAACAGAUUUAAAAAUUACUAUAACCGUCAGUUGCCUAAAUGGCUAGUAAUCUGCCACCAAAAGCUUAUUUGUAAGAAAAUCAUAUAAUCUUAGAAACUUCACUCCGAAUCAUAUACUGGAGCUGGGGUUCUUACAUGAUUUAAAGUCAUAAAACUGAUAAAAGAUAAUUUCUUCAAUGUCUUUACGAGUUUAACCCAGUUCAAGUCUGUCCCUAAUAUCAUCACUAACCUUAAACCAUCUAGCUUCAGAUUAGUGACAAAUAUACGGGUUAGGUCUACCACCAACACAUGCAAUUGGACCACUAGUGAAGCAGAUUCCUUGCACUAAAGAUGUUUCGCCAAAUCACCUGUAGCAUGUGAUUUCCAAUAGUCCCAUCAGAGUGCAUAAAUGGAAAAUGAAUUCUUCUCUUUAUUGAGGCGCCAAACUGUUAUUCCCAAUUUAUGUCACAAGCUGAUGAUAUAUCACAUAAGAAUACCUGCAAAGUGCAUCUCUUUUUCUCUAUGGCGGAAUGAAGUACGUAGACAUUAACAAUAAACAUGAUGAAGACAUAAAAUAGAAUACAUGAAGUACAGAGAAAAACCAAAGACGAACUGACCACAGCAAUAAAACGAACUAGUAACUUUUUAAGCCCAAAUAGAAGAUGUGACAUCGUUAAUAGACAUUUUGAAAAGUAUAUUACCAUCACAAAAGGAUCAAUCAGACACUAACUUCAUCUAGUUUUUAUCAAAAGGAUCAAUCAGACACUAACUUCAUCUAGUUUUUAUCCUAAAGAAACACAGCUGAUUCUAUCAGUGUAUCAGAUUACCAAUAACAACAUUCAUAUGUUAAUCUAGAUAUCUUUUCUUUUUUCUACCUUUCCGCGUCCUCUUACAGGUGCAUCUUAUCCUGUGAUCUUGCGGCAAAGCUUCAUAUCUUAAUGUUCCAAUUCCAAGAACCUUAAAUUUAGUGAUAGUGAGCAACUACAACUUAUAUCUUAGUGGUUUGCAAGUUGGAUAAUUCUAACUAACAUGAAAAUGUUAUCAGUUGCAGCAAAGCAAAAGAGGCAAGAGCUUCAUAAGCAUUUAACUAAUAAUGCAGUAUUAUUUCAAAAUUAAGCUUUAAGGAGAGACAUAGCCUGCACAAUCUAGGGUACUAGAAGCAUUACAUAUUAACAUCGUUAAAGUGAAUUAAUUUAUGAUGCCUCACCGUGUAUUGGCUAUUCACCUAUCAAUAUGCAAACACAGACCUAAUAGAAAUUAAUGCAGCUUACUCGGACAUGAUUUUUUUUAAUUCCAAUUUCAGCCAUGAUAAUUAAGGUACCUUAUCUAGGCACAAAACUUAAAAUUCUUCCUCUUAAUAUGUCCUCCAUUCCUCUCCCUUUAAUCAAUAUAAUCAGCAUGAGGAAGGGAGCUAUGCAUCUCUUCUUAGCAAUCAAAUCCAGUUGGGAAUUUACGCUGGCAGUCAAUCUGCAUAUAGAACUCCCUUCUACAUAUCCUGACAUAUUUCUCCAAAACACUUGAAUAAAAUAGAGCCAAGCAGUUGGUGUAACAUCACAUUUUUCUUCCACUAAGAAAUCCUUUAACCAUUUUAUUUUGCAUAAUGUUGACCAUGAAGAAUCAUACAACUACCCCCCAACUUGUUGACAUUGAGGCAUAUUAAUUAUCGUAGAAACCGUCCAACCACCUCAUUAGCAUGAAAUGGAGAACGAAUACGAGGGUAGCUUACUUUAAUAUGCUUUAUAUUUAAUCUAUGUGCACACACAAAUGGACGCCUGAUUACACAAUGUGCUUACAAGUGCAGAACCCCAGGAAUUUCCUAAUCACAAAUGACCGGAAUUCAGAAGAAAGAUUAGCCUACUUAAUCACCAUGCACCCUAAACCAUUGUAAACCAGAGAACUAGCAAACCAAAACCCUCUGAAAGGAAUAUAAAACACAAGCUUUGCUUGAGCUUGAGUAUUGCAGGGGUGAAUCACACUAAACUCAUGGAGUGACCAAUAAUAACCCCCCCGCCUGCACAAUCUAGGGUACCACAAGCAUUACAUAUUAACAUCGUUAAAGUGAAUUAAUUUAUGAUGCCUCACAGUGUAUUGGCUAUUCAGCCAUCAAUAUGCAAACAGAGACCUAAUAGAAAUUAAAGCACCUUAUUCAGACAUGAAUUUUUUAUUAAUU